AGUUAAUUAGCUAUAAACAAGCAUAUAUUUUGAAAAUAUAAAAAAGAAUCAAAUUCUAUUAACUU
rnacentral:tRNA from 1 species